rnacentral:rRNA from 1 species
CAGUCGCCGCGGUAAUACGUAGGUGGCAAGCGUUGUCCGGAAUUAUUGGGCGUAAGGGCUCGCAGGCGGUUUCUUAAGUCUGAUGUGGAAGCCCCCGGCUCAACCGGGGAGGGUCAUUGGAAACUGGGAAACUUGAGUGCAGAAGAGGAGAGUGGAAUUCCACGUAUAGCGGUGAAAUGCGUAGAGAUGUGGAGGAACACCAGUGGCGAAGGCGACUCUCUGGUCUGUAACUGACGCUGAGGAGCGAAAGCGUGGGGAGCGAACAGGAUUAGAUACCCCGGUAGUCCCUGUCUCUUAUACA